GUGGUUAUGGAAAUGGAGGCCGUUCUUUUGUGUAGGGGGCGUGUUCUGUCAUGUUUACUAACCGCAGGGACGGAGGGCAGGUAACCAAACAACCAACAUGCCGUGCAGGGAAGGUGACUUUGGGUUGUACCAUCCCAGGACACCGAGUGACGGGGACCGGGACCCUGACGAGCUUGAAGCCUUGGUGGAGACCAUGCGGCGCAGCCUCAAACUCAGAAGUAGUGGUAGCUGCAAGGAACGGGCGCGGGGCCGCCAACCGUACCCGCUCCCCUGCUGCUGCUCCAGGCUAAGCCACGAGGACUUCGCGCGCAGGACGUGCACCAGUAGUACUCAGAGACGUGCUCCCGGCCGGAGUCCACGAGCGGAGGCGGAUCCGCAGCGAGCCUUGCAGGAGCUGCUUCGCAAAGGCAGCCUCAUCCAGGAAGCAGUGAAACGGCUGCGGGCGCGGCGGGUACGGGACGAGUCCCGGUGGGAGCCCUGAGCCCCGGAGUGCCAGCGGCUAUAGCCAGAGGGUUUAUACUUUGGUAAAGAAUAAAGGAAGAAAAAGACAUCGACUGAAAAGUUGGCGACGAUGAACUGGCAUGGGGACAGUGAGAUAGGAAAGGAACAAAGAAUGAACUUGAGGGACUGAAUGGUGUUUUGCUCGAGGAAUGAGCGGGUGCACGCUGACUAAGCAGCUAUGACUUCUGUGCUUCUGCCAGAUGAAGAGGCUUGUGGACACUGUUUCUCAGUUAGCAGUCUCGAGUCCCAUGCCUGGAAACUAUGGUAACAGACCUCAAAUCCUGAAGGGCUGUGUGUAGGCCGCAGGACUGACCUCCAUGUGAGAGCUUCAUCUUGUUUAGUCAAGUGACUAGGAUUUGGCAGGCAAAGGAGGCUGUUGCAAAAUAGAGGCUCUGGUAUUUUAAUCCUGAAUUUGUGAACUGAAAACAGACCCAGCUCUUGUAAAGAUGGGAGAAGAGAGCUUGAGCUUUGACUGGGGUGUUGCUUAUAUCCUGACAUAAGCUUUGUUGUAGCCAGUGUAUGCUAAUGUGAGCUGCAGAGUUCAGAUGUAGCUCUAAGUAAGAAAAUCUUUAUAGAGCAUGAGCAUCCAUUCUAUUGGAUGUUGGAGGGGUGGGUUUAUAUACAUAUCGGAACUCUAAAUGGUUGCGUACACUAAAAUGUUUACUUCAGUAGUGUCUUCCGGAAUCUCUUGGUAAGAAACUGCAGAAGGCAAUAAAUUGGAAUAAAUUUCUGUGACAGUAGAUCAGAUUACUAACAGAACUACUCUCUGUGCUGUGACCUGAAUAUGCUGAGAUGGCUAAAAGUUGAAUCUCUUGGUAAAUUAAAUGCGUUUGGACCUCGGACCAUUAGCUUUUGUUGCACUGCAAAACUGAUAAGUUUUUAAGUGGUAAGAUGUAUGGUGAUUUAACAGAGAAAUAAUUAACUGAUGGGCAGACUGUUGACAUCACCAAAGACAAUUUGUAAUUAUUAUUAUUAUUUUUUUUUUAUUAAAUUUCUUACUGAAAA